UGCCUAACACAUGCAAGUCGAACGUGAAAAGGGCAACCUUAGUAAAGUGGCGUACGGGUGAGUAACGCGUGGGUAAUCUACCUUAAAGCCUGGAAUAACCUGCCGAAAGGCGGGCUAAUACUGGAUAGAGCGAAGAAUUCGUAAUGGAUUUUUCGGGAAAGGGAGGUCGCAAGACCCCUCACUUUAGGAUGAGCCUGCGUCUCAUUAGCUAGUUGGUAGGGUAAUGGCCUACCAAGGCGACGAUGAGUAGCUGGUCUAAGAGGACGAUCAGCCACACUGGAACUGAAACACGGUCCAGACUCCUACGGGAGGCAGCAGUGGGGAAUAUUGCGCAAUGGACGAAAGUCUGACGCAGCAACGCCACGUGAGUGAAGAAGGCCUUCGGGUUGUAAAGCUC
rnacentral:rRNA from 1 species